GGGAUGUGAUGAGUGGUCAAUGCUCGCACUAAAUAUGCGAGAUGGGUGUUCGCCCCAAGCCUGUUACGAGAAUUGGACACUCCCAUUUUCACCAAUUUGAUCCC
rnacentral:snoRNA from 1 species